rnacentral:misc_RNA from 1 species
AAGUCGUAACAAGGUCUCCGUAGGUGAACCUGCGGAGGGAUCAUUAACCGAAACAAACCCCGCCACCGAGCUCCGGCUCGAGGGGGGGGCCAGUCUCAAACCCAAUGUCGUCCGACUAUGUUGCCUCGGGGGAGACCCUGCCUCCGGGCGGGUGGCACCCCGGUGGACCAAAUCAAACUCUUGCAUACCAUGUCGUCUGAGUCGAUUUAAAACAAUAAAUCAAAA